rnacentral:rRNA from 1 species
GACGAACGCUGGCGGCGUGCCUAAUACAUGCAAGUCGAGCGAAGUUUUUCUGGUGCUUGCACUAGAAAAACUUAGCGGCGAACGGGUGAGUAACACGUAAAGAACCUGCCUCAUAGACUGGGACAACUAUUGGAAACGAUAGCUAAUACCGGAUAACAAUAUUUUUCGCAUGAAAGAUACUUAAAAGUUGGUUAUGCUAACACUAUGAGAUGGCUUUGCGGUGCAUUAGCUAGUUGGUGGGGUAAAGGCCCACCAAGGCGACGAUGCAUAGCCGACCUGAGAGGGUGAUCGGCCACACUGGGACUGAGACACGGCCCAGACUCCUACGGGAGGCAGCAGUAGGGAAUCUUCCGCAAUGGGCGAAAGCCUGACGGAGCAACGCCGCGUGAGUGAAGAAGGAUUUCGGUUCGUAAAGCUCUGUUGUUAGGGAAGAAUGGAUAUGUAGUAACUAUACAUAUAAGA